AAAACCUACAACAACCCUAUAUGAUUGUUUAAAAGAGUCUAACACUUCAGUGGUUAAAGUUUGUUGUACUACUGUCAGCACAUUGGACAAUGUUUCAUUCAUGAAUAUUUUGCAGUGGCAUCUCUGGUACUUAGUAAAAUUGAAAGGAAAAUCUCUUGAGUAUCAUGUUUUGUGAAUUCCUGCUUUUCAUGUCUGAAUUCACUCAUAAUGUCUUGAUUUGGCUUUGAGUAAGAAACACAGCAAGAUAAUCCAUUGUUCAAAUAGUUCACUUGUUCCAUACUCCAGCAUGUUAAAGGGGUUCUGCAGGAAGUGACUAUGGAGCUGUUUUGCCCCAUGGCGGCCUCCUUUUUCUCACUGACAUGCUCUUCUGCUUAUACUUUGGGAGCAAGCAAAACUAUUUUAAAAAGAUAACUAAUUCGCUUUCAAAAAAUAAACCUCCAGAGCCCUGUCAUUCAUCUGUUUCGCUGCCCAAUAACCUGGUUCCUCUGUAUUGGAUUGCGUUUUUCCAAAGUCCUCCAGGUUUCUGUGAUCUUCUCUAAAUUCAAGGUCAAGCACUUUCAGCUGAAGCCACUGCAGCAGUGUGUUGGUAUCUCUAUAGCCAAGCUAAGACUGCAUCAGCUUCGCGGGAGUGUCACGUCACUUUUCAUAUCACCAUGGCUCCCAGGUGGCCACAAAGGUUUUUCUGAGGCCCCUUCCGCACAGCUGAAUAAAAUCCCACAUUAUCUGCUUUGAACUGGAAUAUAUGGCAGUGUGGACUCAGAUAGCCCAGUUCAAAGCAGAUAUUGUGGGAUUUUCUGCUUUAGUAUUCUGGGUUUUAUGGCUGUGUGGAAGAGCCCUGAGUUUCUGACCAUUGCUGUCUCCUCUGUUGAUGUCAGAACAGGACAUUCACACAACCAGGAAAAACAGAGGAUUGUUCCAUUCUGAUGUCAGCAGAGGCACCCACAAUGGCCAGAACCUUGGAUGGAGCUCUGUAGUUGAUGGGAAGUGGCAGUGACAGCUUGGGACAAGCCAUCCCCUUCCCCGUGCUAUUUAGGAGGGGGUGAUAGCACUGUGUCUGGACAGUGGGUCAGGCCAAAUCGGACCUGGGCCAGUUGUCCAGACUGUGACACAAUCCGGGGAUACUCUAGAAUUUCCAGCAAUCUCUGGAGUAUGCCUCGACUUUGCCCUACAAAACACAAUACUCACCAGAAGUCAGCAAACAUCGUAGGGACAGGAUAUAAUGGAAGUCCAGAUUUUCUUGUCCAUGUAGACUUAUUCCUAUUCUAUAGACUUUUUAAGUUGCAGACACAGCAGGUAGGAACAGAGGGAGACAAAAAUGUUUAUGUUGGAACCCGUUGUACUUUCAUAAUAUUUAUCAUUAAACCAUUUGUUUACUUUCUUGUCCCCUUCUGCAAAAGCUCUGUUAGCCACAUGAUACUAAAUUGAUUAAUUAGCAAAGGGUUGUUUUCUGUUUUGUACACAAAAGCCUUAGUGAACAAGAAUAUAUAACUAUAAAGAUAGCAGUCAGCUUAUUACAGCCACAUUUUACUUGCCCUGGUUCUUUCUCAGAUGUGAAAUGUAUGUAUAAAGCUGGAAAUCUGUCCAGUAUAUAGGAAAGGACAAGAUAAAAUUGCAAAUACUGUCUCAUUUCAUUUUCUUCUCUUUUUUUGGCUGGAGUUCUGUUUGAUGUAUUCCUUAUCCAGACUCAAGUUUGGACACCUGGAGAAGAAUCUCCAUGAAAAGAAGAUGUCGUGAAGAGAUGAAUGGUGAGGAACAAAAGCGCACAGAAGAUAUAAUGCAAAGUCUGACCAAGUACUAAAACUUUAAGGAUAUCACUCCAUAAUUCAAUUAUAUGUCACAACUACAGAGGAAGAAGAAAUUCAAAUAUUCUAUGCUGGAGUCCAGGAGGAAAUCAAAUUCACACCAUGUUGAUAAUCAUGGCAUGGUUUGCAUUCCAGUCUCCUAGAGUUAGAUUUAAAAGAUGUGAAACACUGCAAAAUACAGUUUCAAUUCUUGAGCCCUUGGUCCUUCUUUGUUGCUCUUUCUGGGGCAUUUGGUUAGAUGGUUGCAGCAGGUCUGCCUAUUUCCAUAUGAGAUAAUACCUCUCAAGGCAGCACUCAUCUCAGUGAUCUUUAGAGCCACAAGAAUUGGGGAAUUAAUGGCAGGGUCCAGGAGAGACAGAUCUGGGAGAGGACUUCAGCUCCGGAAUGUGGAGAUCAUCAAUUCUGCAUCUCGCAUCUGCAUCAAGCAUUCUAAAUGUGACCAGUGGAGGAACCAAUCGGUGAUUCAUCUUUGAGCUCUGGGCAUGAGGGGUCCAUGCCCAGGACCCAAAAUGCAAGUAUUAUCAGAGUAUUUGACAAUGUGUUUUGUGGGGGAGCACCCAAUUUUCACACAUGCAAACUACAUGCUCCUCUCAUUUCCAAAUCAUUGCAGUUCUUCAUUUGGCUCUCAGCAGCCUUGAAUUGCUAGCAGCAGAACAUGGGGAUCACUCAUUCAGGAUCAGAGUGGCAAUGGUGGCUGCAGAUUGUGAUCUGGUAAGGACUCCACCAAGCACCAAGCACUCCACCAAGCACAUAAGUUUUUGGACAUCCGGGAUCUGGAUACUGUGCAUGACAAUUUUGAUUCUUUUACAGGAUUGAAACAAUGAUGAAGACAGGACACAUGGCCAACACAUUCCAACGGCCAGUGGAAGGCCUUGGGGCAAGUCAUAGAGGUUGUGAGAUGGUCUAGAAAAGGAUUUAAUAGACAAGCUCAGGGUGGCAACUAUGGACAGCUCCCUGCCAUUGUCUGCCUUUUCUUUGGUUGCAGCUGCACUGUGGUUGACAUAAGCCAGUCCUCUAGUCUACUUUUUGUGGCAGCUGGUAUCAGUUUUAGAUCCAAGAUCAGGUGUCCAGUGCAUGCCAAGUCCUGGUGGUAUAGGGGGUCCUAUUGGGGGACUUGAGAGGGAUGUGUGGUCUGCAGGGCUCUUACCCAGAUGGGAAUAGACCCAUACUACACCCCAUCCUGGUGGCUGUGAGAAACUACAACUGGGAUGCCCCAUUGGGUAGAUCUCAUGCCACUCCAGUGUGAGCUGUCACUAGAUCAGUUCUGCGGUGUCAUUGAUCAUCAGGUGGGUUAGUCAAUGUUUGGCUCCUGAUCCUCGUGUGGGCCAACGUUCAUCAAACUGUAACCAAAAUAAAGUUGUGGCCUUUUAAUUAUCUAACUGUGAUUAUUCUGUGGCCAAAAAAAGGAAUGGGGUUGGCCUGCAUUGAGAUCUCUCUAGAACAACUGAAUUACAACAGAAACAUACAAAAUGUAGGUCUGUGACUCAACUAUUUUUGUCUCUGCUGUUGAUUAAACUUUUCUGUGUCCUAGAGGGAAGUGCAGGGUGGGGAUGGGAUGUUGAGGAGCAGCAGAAUUACAGAACAGAUUUUUUAUGUUCCCAUGAUUUGGAGGGCUUUGGAAGGAGCAAAAUACUAAAUCCACUUUGCUGUUGCAUGCACCCAGCCUUAAGUAACUUUUGUCCUUAGGAAAACUAGUUUUCUCAUGGAGUUGGAGAGAGACACUUGAGAGCUUUUUCACAAUAUCUCAUAUUGUAGAAAACAAAUAAUUGUAGAAAACAAAUAAAAAUACAUAGGAACUAAAUGAGGUUGUGGACUUGAUAAUUGCCAUUCAUUUAUUUUCAUUUAUUUAAUUUAUAUCCAAUCUUUCUCUCAGCAUGGAAACCAAAAUUGUUGUUUUCCUGCUUACUGAUGGAAAGACAGAAAGAGAGUGCAACAUACAAGAUUGAAAUCCUGCCUUAGUCCAAUAAACUGCACUAUGAUAAAGGACUAACCAACCACUUUCAUAUGAGGUGGCAAUAGUGUCCUGGCGAUUCUUUACCAGAGUUACUGCUUGACCAAGCGCCUUUUUACACUGACACUAUAAUGCACAGGACUUUUUGUAUUUAUCUCUUCUCUUCCAUGUACACAUAAUUUUCUACACGUGCUUCAAAUGCUUCCCUUUUCUCUUUAAAAAGAUCUCUUCAAGAAUCACUGUACUCUUGGAACUGUUGAAAAUGGAGUUGUAUUUGUCAGGACUUGUGGAAGACCAGAUGGGGAAGUAAUGGGAAAGUACUAUGAUAUAAGGCCACAGAAGCAAGAGUAUUGUAUGUUCAGACGUAGAAAUAUACAACCAUAUAUAAAUGAAGAAUGACUAUUGAAACUGAGAUUUUGUGGAAAUGGACAAAUUAACCAUGUUUUUUUUCUGACCUUUGUAGAAGACUGGUAAUUUAUGUAUUUUUUAUUUUGCAGAGUGAAGAGAACAAUAUAUUGACUGUAGUUUUUUAUAAAUUAGUAAGCACUAGAAAUGCAUGAAUGAUAAUUAAGUUUAAAGAAGCUAUUUUAUUUAGUUUUAUAUAUAUUCCCGUAUUUACUCAAUUCGAAUGCUCACCCUUUUGAUUAAAAUAUUUUCCCAAAAUUAGAGUGUGCAUUAGAUUUGUUAAUAUGGCAAAUCCUUUUUUGGGGGUUUUGGGUUUUGAAAAUUGAGGUGCACAUUAGAUUCGAUGGCACAUUAGACUUGAGUAAAUACGAUAUUUUAUAGAAAAGUUGGAAAUCAAAUAUACUGUACAUAGAAAUCUUUUCUUUUUCUUUCUUUUCUUAUUUCUAAACUAUUUCUUGCUGUAUUAAACUUUUUCUUACAGUAUUGUCGAAGGCUUUAACUGGGGUGCUGUGGGGUUUCCGGACUAUGUGGACAUGUUCUUGCGGCGUUUUCUCUUUACAUUUUUCCAGCAUCGGUGGCUGACAUUUUCAGAGGAUUUCUUACUGUGAUUCUCUUUUUAUACUAACUCAUUUUUACUUCUGUGUUAUUCUUUUUGGUGACAUAUUUAUUGUAUUUGAAAAUCCCUAAAAUAAAAUAAUAAUAAUUGUUGUUGUU